ensembl:processed_transcript
ACCUCUUCUGCAUGAACUGCACACUGCUCUGAACCUUAAACAAACAAUCAGCAUGAUCGUGUCGGAGGUUGAUGAAGGGGAAGAUGACGAUGACGAUGAUGAAAAAGAUGAUAGAGGUACUGGAAUAAGUGUCUGCUGCCAAGGGUAGACAACUACUCCAGACCUUAAAGCGGCCAGUGUCGAUUAAGAUCAAUAGUACGCUGGAUCCAAAAACGGCAUGUGUUUGCUGCCAGCAGCCAAAGCAAACACACAGCUAGAGUUGUGACAGAACGUCACAAGCACCUCCCACGCCAUGUGUGUCCAUGGCAAUGUUGACACGUAGACUGAUUCCUCCAUGGCAGCGAUGGAUCUCGCAACGUACCCGCUGUGCAGUAGCAGCACCAUCGCUUUUCUUCAGAAGAGCUCUGCUUUCACGUCUGUUUGUGCAACCCUGAAGAAACCAUGAUGAGAAGAACGAGAUGGUCAUCCUGAGGCGAUUCUCUGACGAAGCUGCUGAUCCAGAGUCUGGAAGAUGUGGUGCAGGUUUUUCUGCAAUCACAAUCGUCCUCAAGUCGCCAUUGUGCCACCGAGCAGCGCACAAUCAUGACUUCAAGUUAUUUUUUUUUUCCUGCAACAGGUCUACAGUAGUCAAAUAUCCAUUGAAAUACAAACAGAACUGGGCUGGAUGGGCAUUUUUAUAGAUGUACUAAUGGAUGCAUGUUGCUCAUAUAUACAGGGAGGUCAGUGCCUUUGAAAGCCUAUGUGUAUUUGUUGUAAAGAUUUAAUGACUAUGGCUGCUUGGUCCAAAAAAAAAAACUCUCCAAUAAAACUAGCAGAAGUUUCUGGAAGAGCGGAUCAAGAUUAGAGGUAAAAGCCUACUGAUUUUUUUUACAUUUUAUUUAUUUUAUCUCAUUUAAAACAACAUCAAAGCCAUAGAGAGCAUGAUCAGAGCGAGGUGACAUGUUCACCAGGAUUGGGUUCACAAAGCACAUCAAUUCUGCAUUUUGUGCUGACUUCCCUUACAGAAAUCUGAUAUGUGGCCAUAUAUAAACAUAUAUACAAUCAUAGACUAUAUAUAUUGACCAUAUUUGUAAUUCCAAUUAUAAAACAACAAUGAAAACAGCAAUAUUUCGAAGCGUAUGUUGCAUAUAUGACAUAUUUAAUAUCUGUAAAAUCUAAACUUGUAUGUCAUUUAUGUAAUUUGCAUAGCCAUAUAUCAGAUUUGUGUAUGGGUUGGAUGAAUCCACUGGUUCAUGACUUUACUAACAUUACACUAAAUGACUCACUGUUGAAUCUCACGCACAGGUGUUAUCGCAGUGAUGUUGAACGAAAGUUACACGACACAAGUAACUUACUGUAUAGAGACAAGAUCUCAUACAGGAAAAGGUCCUGAUGGAAGGAUCAAGAGGUCUAGCCAGAGAUGAGAUGAAGCCCAAUAGAUGUGACAACAUCAGAGGCAAUCAAAUCCUAUUGAGCACUCAUAAUAUUCUUGGUUAUGUGGAAAGGGGAUCCUUAGUGAGUGAUCUGUUUAGUUUUACAAUACAAUGAUGUUCUUCAAAAUGUCAUGAUGUAGCAGAUGGAUUACUGUGCAUUCGUCUGCCUAAAUGUGUCAUUUACUAAUGAGCCACAAGUUAAACUUCCUCUAAAUAAAUAAUUUGGAAAAAAAA